rnacentral:lncRNA from 1 species
AGACCGGAUGUGGCUGUGCUUCAGACCGCGCGGGAAGUCCUGGGAUGGCGUGGAGCCCGCUUCAGCUGAAGGGACAGAGGGAGAGGCAGGGGCCAGACAGCGCCAACCACCUGAGACCCAGGCAAGAGACAGUAUGGUGGGUGGGGGUACUGCCCAGUAAGGGCUGGGGGAGAGGACUGAGGAAACCCUCCCUCCAUCAACGUGCCUGGGAGCCCUGCCAGGUGAGAGCCCUGUUGUUCCUGGAUGACUGUGGACCGCUCACUCCGGCCCCUCAGCCCCUACCCAGCCUGCCCCCAGGAGCAGCACGGCUGGGCACCAGCAUCUCUCCAGCUGGCAGUUGCCCCACUGGGAUCCCCCAAAUGCCCUGCAAGCCAAGGUGUGCAAGCCCUGCACACUGAGGGCUGGAGGGCAGCCCCCGUGCUGUGUUCCAGAUGGAGGGAGGGGUGGGGAGGGGGGAGCUACACUGGGGAGGGCUGCGCCGGUCACUGCCGAGGAGGGAAAGCCUCAACAUCACCCCUCUUACCCCCCAUCUCCCGCAGCCUCCCAGCAAGGUUGUGGCCCGCAGCGGACGCUCCCCACGAGGUAGAGCCCCGUUUCCACACCUGGAGCAGCUGCACCUGGAGGUGGGGCUCAUCUCCAGACCUGGAGCAGCUGCCUGCCCCAGGGCAGAAGCCACUGCCCGCAGCUAGGGAGCAUUGAGGAGGUCUCCCCAGGUCCGCGCGGGUUUUCUCCAGGUCCUCCAGUUUCCUCCCACAUCCCAAGUAUACACCUCAGCCUCACGGCAUGUCUACAUGGGCCUAGUCCGAGUGAGUGUGGGUGUCCCAUGGAGGCCUGUCCUAUCCAGGGCGGGUGCCCACCUUGGCACUGAGCCUCCAGGAUGGGCCCUGGUCACCUGCCACUCUGAACUGGAGAAAGCAAGUUGGAAAAUGAAUGAAUACAUGAAUAUAAAUUAUCAAAUAAAAAUUAUAAAGCCUACGGUA